rnacentral:rRNA from 1 species
UACGGGGGGAGCAAGCGUUAUCCGGAUUCACUGGGUUUAAAGGGUGCGUAGGCGGGCAGGUAAGUCAGAGGUGAAAUCUCCGGGCUUAACCCGGAAACUGCCUUUGAUACUAUCUGUCUUGAAUAUGGUGGAGGUAAGCGGAAUAUGUCAUGUAGCGGUGAAAUGCUUAGAGAUGACAUAGAACACCUAUUGCGAAGGCAGCUUACUACGCCUAUAUUGACGCUGAGGCACGAAAGCGUGGGGAUCAAACAGG